GUCUUUUUGAUAUUAAUUUAAGGUUUAACCUGCCCGAUGAAAUUUUGAAUGGCUGCGGUAUUUUGACUGUACUAAGGUAGCAUAAUCAUUAGUUUUUUAAUUAAAAGCUGGAAUGAAGGGUUGGAUGAAAAAUUAACUGUCUCUAAUUAAUUUUAUUAGAAUUUUAUUUUUAAGUUAAAAAGCUUAAAUAUUUUUAAAAGACGAGAAGACCCUAUAGAGUUUAAUAAGUAUUUAAUUAAUUAAUAUUUAGGAUUAAUUUUUAAUAAUUAUUGUUUAUUUAAUUGGGGUGAUUAAAAAAUUUAAAAAACUUUUUUUAUAAAUUUAUAUUGAUUAAUAAAUAAAUGAUCCAAAAAUUUUGAUUAUAAGAUAAAUUACCUUAGGGAUAACAGCGUAAUUUUAUUAGAGAGUUCAAAUCGAAAAUAAAGUUUGCGA
rnacentral:rRNA from 1 species